rnacentral:rRNA from 1 species
GACGAACGCUGGCGGCGUGCCUAAUACAUGCAAGUAGAACGCCCAGUUUAUACCGUAUCUUGCUACCCCAUAAACUGUGAGUUGCGAACGGGUGAUUCACGCGUAUGUAACCUGCCUUGUAGCGGGGGAUAACUAUUGUAAACGAUAUCUAAUACCCCAUCAUCUUAAUUAUUCCAUGAUACUUGAUUGAUAGAUCCAAUUACUUCACUACCAUCUGGACCUGCGUUGUAUUAGCUAAUAGGUGAGGUAACGGCUCACCUAUGCGACGAUACAUAGCCGAGCUGAGAAGGUGAACGGCCAAACAGGGACUGAGAAAAGGCCCAGAAUCCUACGGGGGGCAGCAGUAGGGAAACUUCGGAAAAGGAGGGAAGGCUGGACGAGCAACGCCGCGUGAGGGAAGAAGGUUUUCGGAGUGGAAAGGUCUGUUUGAAGAGAAGAAAGGGUGGGAGGGUGAAAAGUUCACACUGUGACGGUACCUAACGAGAAAGGGACGGCUAACUACGUG